rnacentral:rRNA from 1 species
UGCAAGUCGAACGAUGAACCACUUCGGUGGGGAUUAGUGGCGAACGGGUGAGUAACACGUGGGCAAUCUGCCCUGCACUCUGGGACAAGCCCUGGAAACGGGGUCUAAUACCGGAUACUGAUCCUCACGGGCAUCUGUGAGGGUCGAAAGCUCCGGCGGUGCAGGAUGAGCCCGCGGCCUAUCAGCUAGUUGGUGAGGUAAUGGCUCACCAAGGCGACGACGGGUAGCCGGCCUGAGAGGGCGACCGGCCACACUGGGACUGAGACACGGCCCAGACUCCUACGGGAGGCAGCAGUGGGGAAUAUUGCACAAUGGGCGAAAGCCUGAUGCAGCGACGCCGCGUGAGGGAUGACGGCCUUCGGGUUGUAAACCUCUUUCAGCAGGGAAGAAGCGAAAGUGACGGUACCUGCAGAAGAAGCGCCGGCUAACUACGUGCCAGCAGCCGCGGUAAUACGUAGGGCGCAAGCGUUGUCCGGAAUUAUUGGGCGUAAAGAGCUCGUAGGCGGCUUGUCACGUCGGUUGUGAAAGCCCGGGGCUUAACCCCGGGUCUGCAGUCGAUACGGGCAGGCUAGAGUUCGGUAGGGGAGAUCGGAAUUCCUGGUGUAGCGGUGAAAUGCGCAGAUAUCAGGAGGAACACCGGUGGCGAAGGCGGAUCUCUGGGCCGAUACUGACGCUGAGGAGCGAAAGCGUGGGGAGCGAACAGGAUUAGAUACCCUGGUAGUCCACGCCGUAAACGGUGGGCACUAGGUGUGGGCAACAUUCCACGUUGUCCGUGCCGCAGCUAACGCAUUAAGUG